GAUGAACGCUGGCGGCGUGCCUAAUACAUGCAAGUCGAGCGAACGGACGAGAAGCUUGCUUCUCUGAUGUUAGCGGCGGACGGGUGAGUAACACGUGGAUAACCUACCUAUAAGACUGGGAUAACUUCGGGAAACCGUAGCUAAUACCGGAUAAUAUUUUGAACCGCAUGGUUCAAAAGUGAAAGACGGUCUUGCUGUCACUUAUAGAUGGAUCCGCGCUGCAUUAGCUAGUUGGUAAGGUAACGGCUUACCAAGGCAACGAUGCAUAGCCGACCUGAGAGGGUGAUCGGACAAACUGGAACUGAGAAAGGGGAAAGAAUACUACGGGAGGAAGCAGGAGGGAAGCGGACGCAAGGGGAGAAAGACGGACGCAGUAACGAAGAGUGAGUGAUGAAGGUCUUAGGAUCGUAAAAAUUUGUUAUUAGGGAAGAACAAAGGGGUAAGUAAAUAUGCACGUCGAGACGGUAACUAAUAAGAAAGACAAGGCUAAAUACGUG
rnacentral:rRNA from 1 species